rnacentral:rRNA from 1 species
GACGAACGCUGGCGGCGUGCUUAACACAUGCAAGUCGAACGGUAAGGCCCUUCGGGGUACACGAGUGGCGAACGGGUGAGUAACACGUGGGUGAUCUGCCCUGCACUUCGGGAUAAGCCUGGGAAACUGGGUCUAAUACCGGAUAGGCCUCCUGGCUUCCUGGUGGGGGGUGGAAAGCUUUUGCGGUGUGGGAUGGGCCCGCGGCCUAUCAGCUUGUGGGUGGGGUAAUGGCCUACCAAGGCGACGACGGGUAGCCGGCCUGAGAGGGUGACCGGUCACACUGGGACUGAGAUACGGCACAGACUCCUACGGGAGGCAGCAGUGGGGAAUAUUGCACAAUGGGCGCAAGCCUGAUGCAGCGACGCCGCGUGAGGGAUGACGGCCUUCGGGUUGUAAACCUCUUUCAGCUAUGACGAAGCGCAAGUGACGGUAGUAGCAGAAGAAGGACCGGCCAACUACGUGCCAGCCGCCGCCGUAA